CAGGAAUCCAUCCCCAUGGCCAAAGGCAGCAGCAACAGCAAUAGCAGGCUGAAACAAGAGAGGGGAUGACUUGAGCUCACUGAAAGCAUCAGAGUUUCUCUUCCAGACAAGACGAAGACAAGCCUGAAAAAGGAUCCUGAGUUCUCCAUUGAAUCAGCUUUACUCUCCUGCUGGUCUCUUCACUAAUGAGACCCAGUUUCUCUCUCUUCAUGUAGUGGCUGCCUGUCAGCUCUGAUGUACAUGUUUCAAGUCCAGCCCUAAGCAGGGAUAAAAACUGAAGACCUUCAGUUCUAUUAUAAAAUUGCCAGGAUCCCACCCAUGACCAGAGGGAUGGGCACAUCUCAGAAAGAAGUCAAGCAAACUCCUACCAGGGAAUUUCACUGUUGAGAUGAGGCACACAGGUACCACAGAGGGUUGGACCUGAUCAUCUGCUGGCAAUUGCCUAAAGAGGUAGCACACAAG